GGGGUGUGUGCUUUGUAGCUCAGAGGAAGAGCAUGUGCUUUGCACACAGAAGGCCCCAGGUUCAAUUCUUGGCAUCUCCA
rnacentral:tRNA from 1 species